GAUGAAGAACGCAGCGAAAUGCGAUAAGUAAUGUGAAUUGCAGAAUUCAGUGAAUCAUCGAAUCUCUGAACGCACAUUGCGCCCGGCAGUAAUCUGCCGGGCAUGCCUGUCCGAGCGUCAUUUCACCCCUCGAGCCGCUUUUAGUGGAUCGGUGUUGGGGCACUACGGUAAAACGUAGGCCCUGAAAUGAAGUGGCGGUCCCGCCGCGGUGCCCCCAUGCGUAGUAACGUUUAGUCUCGCAUCGGGUCCCGGCGGAGGCCUGCCGUCAAGCCUAUUUAUUCUCAGAAUAGUUUGACCUCGGAUCAGGUAGGGUUACCCGCUGAACUUAAGCAUAUCAAUAAGCGGAGGA
rnacentral:misc_RNA from 1 species